rnacentral:lncRNA from 1 species
GCCCGCGGUGGACCAGCUGCGUAACGGUUCACACACUGAUGGCGCCUGGAGGUUUGGCGAAAUACUGACAGGAUGCGACGUCAACGGGAGCGCAGGGCCAAGAUACCCUUUAUAUCAAACCGUCUAUCCUGGAGCAGAAAAAUCCUGUCUUCAUUGCUAUAGCUACAGAUUCAGAAAUGAGCAUGUAACAAAUUCAGGCCAAAGAGAGGCAAUGGAAAUCAGAGAAACACUGUUCCUGAAAGCUUCUGUCACUCAAGAAUCCAUGAAACAUUCAUGAACUUCACAUCAGAAGCCAAGCCCAGAAAAUAUGGGUUUAAGGUUUGCCUAUAUGUCCAAUACAAGAGAAAAAAGAACAUUCCACUUCUUUAGAAGGUUCUACUUUGAUCUCCUGAUUCCAGUUGUGAAAAAAAAUUGUGCCUAAAGAAUAUAGUCCCUUUAUAGAAUUGUUUUGAAACCUACCACAGGUAUUUCUACACAGGUGCUAUUGUGGAGGUGCAUACCCAACAGUUUGAUAAUGUAGAGGAAGUGAUAGCUUUGUCUCGUGGAAUCUGGGUCGACCUCACAGAGGAGCUGUUAUUUGUUCUGGAUAUUGAACAGUGACAAGGAUUCAGUGGGAGAGAAAGAGGCGAGGAUUUUAAUGCAACUUGUUACACAAGAUGAACCCAAACAUAUUUGACUUUUUAUUUUCAGAAAAGCUUAAUACAUAGUUUUGAAUAUGGAUUGUCCCACAGGAUAAAUGCAUGAAAAAAGUUGGAAAAGAGAAAUUGAAUUACAUCCUAAUUGUAGUGUUUUCUCAGGCAGAUCAAUUUUAGAAAGAGAACAUUGACUUGGAAAACUGAAGAGUAAUUAUUCUAAAACGGUUGUAACAGUUUACUCCUUUUAUGUUUGCAAACUUCCAGGAUUAGUGAGUUGCAUAAAGUCACAUAAUUUAUUGCGUUGGUGCAAAAGUAAUUGUGGUUUUUGCCAUUAACAAAACCGCAAUUACUUUUGCAUCAGCCUAAUAUAAGUGAAUAAAUUAAUAUUAGAACACAGGUCUAAUUAAAAGGUUCUGCUGUGUUGUGUCCUGUGAUAACACAGAAAACAAACAAAUGGAUAAUUACAGAAAAAUUUUGGAUAUAAAAUUAGCAGGUAAUUUUCUCCCUCCUUUCCUUCCAUCUUUCCAUCCUUCUUUGCUUCCUUUGCUUUCUUCUUUUCCUUUGUUUUUUGUUUCUCUCUCUCUCUUUUUUUUUUUUUUUUUUUUUUUUUGCAAUUUGGAGAAGGAAGUACUUUAAAAGAAAAGUUAAAAGGCAGACAUAGAUAGCAUGAAGCCUAAUUGCAAGAUCUUUUUCAAACAUAUUAGUUUUAGGAAAUAGCACCUGAAUUUAAGUCCCUUAAAAUUGUCUAUGUCUUCACGUCCAAGUCUCUAUAUUUGCAGGGCUGUGUACAAUCUAGACUGAACAUGCUUGACCUAAAAACAGAAGUAAUACCUGGGGCAAAGCACGAUGUGCACCACAGUCUUCUCUCUUUAGUGUGUUAAGAUAAAGUUGAUUCCCAGAGUAGCCUGCCAUCACUAACUCUGAGGGAUGGUGGGCUAAUUUUGAUAGAAGGAGCAGAGGUGGUAGUUAGGAGGAAGGUGACUCAUCAUCAUUGUAUCAGCAGGCAUUGAUGACUGGAAAUAUCAGGGGGCACAGCCUGAAAGAGAAUGGCUUAAUUGGAAUUGAUAGUGGGAACUUGGAAAUCAAUACAUAUGCACUGAACAGAAAAUGGUAUGCUAUAAUCUACUAUACACUGUAUGUGAAACCCAAGCUCCAAAUUUUUCGGCCCAUGCAAUGUCCAGUAAAAUUUCUCUUAGUUACAUUAUAAUUGCAAUGUACAUGUAUUUGAGGAAAAAAAAAGUGAAAGAAAAAGUAACUAAAGAAAAGUGGAAAUGCAAAACUUUGUUUUUAUUAAUGUUAAAAUUUAUUUUGAUCAACUUGCUAUUCUUAAAAUUGACCAAUCUUCUUCCCUUCCUUGCCUCUUCCAUGGUUUAUAGGAUUAUUUUUCAGGGCUGAUCAGUUGGUGUUACAUGUGACUACUAUGCUUAAUGCUAUCUGGCUUCUAACUUUAAGCACUGAAAAAAAGUCCUUCGUAUUUCUCAGUGUGUGAUUGAACUGAGAUGACCAUCCUAAGCCUCCUCAUUACAUAAAUCCUUACCUUCUCCAGAAGCAACGAAUGGUGUUGAGAAUAGCAUAUGUUACUACUCAGCCAUAUUCCAUAGCCUUUUCUCCAAGAUAUUUUUCCAAAGUUGCCCCUUUUCUGAAUCCCUUGCAAGCAAACAAACAACAAAACAAUGGGUAAUAAAAUAAUUGUUUAACUUUCAUUUAUAUGCUCUGAGAUUGAUGUGAUUUUGAUAAAUAACUAUAUUAAAAGACAAAUGGGAGUGGUGAUUUUGUGAAAAGCCCAUGCCUCUGCCCAUGGAAUAUGUGGCUUGGCCUGGAGCUCUUAUUUUACUUAUAUAUUUCUAAGCAGAAUUAUUCAAGAAUGUCUCUUAUUACAGGUCUUGAAACUUGGACAGCCAACAGAAAGGAAGCUAAUAAAUAAAUUUGUCAGAACACGAUUCUCAGUUUCACUUAUUUUGAAUUAAAGGUAACCUGGAAAAUGGAUUAGGAAAACAGCCUAUAAUCAGAGGAGUGACCCCAGUGAGACCCUGUCAUUAAAACUUUAGUGUUGAGCCUGCAAACCUCUGUUCCUCUGAUUAGGCAAUUUACUCCAUUUCCACCUUUCUGUCUGCCAAAACAUUUAGUGGCAAAACAUUUUCUAAUUCUCUAGACUCAUAAAAUGUUGUUUUGAAAAAAAGUAAAACAGAAUGGAUUACCUUUUUAAGCUGUCUAUCAUAAUGUAAUCAGAAAACAUGAGGGAUUAAUAGAUAAUAUUGUAAAGAGGCAAAGGCAGCAGAUGUUAUUUAGAUGAGCAGAAGGUCACAGACCUCUGUUGAGGAUUGAAAGCUUGAGGUACGUGCCUUUGUUCCUCAGUGUGUGUGGAUCAGAGUGAUUACUGAUAUCAGUUAGCAACAUGGUGGAGGGGACAAACUGGGGCUGCAUUUUCACUAUGUUUAUUAUUGCUCAAGGUCAAAAAGUGACUGUGUAGUGCCUCAGUUUUUACAUCUUUGUGUUAUCAAUAUUUUUUUCUAUUACCUUACAAGUUUAUUUUGAUGCUGUAAUGAUGAGACAGUGUUUUGAAAAGUUCUAAAUAAAUAAAAGGGUAUUCUCUAACUUUUAAA